rnacentral:rRNA from 1 species
CGAAGGGGGCUAGCGUUGCUCGGAAUCAUUGGGCGUAAAGGGCGCGUAGGCGGCCGGAUUUGUCAGGCGUGAAAAUCCUGGGCUCAACCCAGGGACUGCGUUUGAAACGGUCCGGCUGGAGGACGGAAGAGGCUCGUGGAAUUCCCAGUGUAGAGGUGAAAUUCGUAGAUAUUGGGAAGAACACCGGUGGCGAAGGCGGCGAGCUGGUCCGUUACUGACGCUGAGGCGCGACAGCGUGGGGAGCAAACAGGAUUAGAUACCCUGGUAGUCCACGCCGUAAACGAUGUGCGCUGGAUGUUGGGUGCCAUAGGCACUCGGUGUCGUAGUUAACGCGGUAAGCGCACCGCCUGGGGAGUACGGCCGCAAGGUUG